rnacentral:rRNA from 6 species
UCUUGACCUCGGAUCAGGUAGGGAUACCCGCUGAACUUAAGCAUAUCA